rfam:Stegodyphus mimosarum contig99955, whole genome shotgun sequence.
GCCUUCGUAGUCUAGUGGUCAGCACGCUCGACGCGAAUUCGAGAGGUCCGUGGUUCGAAUCCCGGCGAGGGCA